rnacentral:sRNA from 1 species
UUUAGAACUAUUUAGAACUAUUUAAGAUACUUUUUUAAAUCUAAAGAUUUUUAAAGCUGUAAAAAGCAUGAUGAAAAAUCACUGCUGUAUCUAAGUUUAAGUGGUAUAGUUUUCCUUCUAAUAAGUCUCCUUUUCUGCUAAUUUCAAAACACUUUUUUUCACUGACCAUUAAUCGACAGUUCUUAAUGAUCACAAGUGUCACUUACUCACAGCUGUCUUAGCAAUUCUUUUUAGUGGAACUACAGCUACUAAUUCCUUGAACUCAGUUGACACACAUGAGUUAUACUUUCUUGUUCAUUUUUCCUUUCACUAUGUUAGGCACCCCCUGUAAUGGCCUAUCCUGCUACUACACCAACAGGCAUGAUAGGAUAUGGAAUUCCUCCACAAAUGGGAAGUGUCCCUGUAAUGACGCAACCAACCUUAAUAUACAGCCAGCCUGUCAUGAGACCUCCAAACCCCUUUGGCCCUGUAUCAGGAGCACAGAUACAGUUUAUGUAACUUGAUGGAAGAAAAUGGAAUUACUCCAAAAAGACAAGUGCUCAAGCAGCAAAAUCCUUACUUCCAGCAAAAUCCAAACUGCUGUCUCUUAAAUCUCUUAAACUCUCUUCUUCCAUUAGAAUGCUACAAGUAACUCAGUGAAGGCCCAUGAAGGAAAUUGGGACUAGUUUAUAGGAGAACGUAUCAAUACAGUUUAUAAAGCCAAGAAUUGCUAUGAUUUAAGACUAAGAUCUGU